rnacentral:rRNA from 1 species
CCCUUAGAUGUUCUGGGCCGCACGCGUGCUACACUGAGUGGAUCAGCGGGUCAGGUUGCGCGAAAGCGUUUCCUAAUCUUUAAAUCCGCUCGUGAUGGGGAUUGACGGUUGCAAUUUUCUGUCAUGAACGAGGAAUACCUUGUAAGCGCGGGUCAUCAUCCCGCGCUGAAUACGUCCCUGCCCUUUGUACACACCGCCCGUCGCUCCUACCGAUCGAGCGAUCCAAUGAAUGUUUCGGAGCGGAACUGAGAUGCUAAUGCGUCUCUUUUACGCGAAUUUGUGUGAAUUUGAUCGCUUAGAGGAAGGAGAAGUCGUAACA